UAGGUCAUGUGAGGUGUCAUUGGAAAAGUUAUGAUUUGCUGAAUAUGAUUAUCCUAUUUGUAUGCAUGUAUCAUUUUUGUAUCUGAAGUUAUUAAUAUUGACUAUGUCUCCGCAUUUCAAAUGUAGUUACACCUGGGGAAUGCCUACUAGACAAGAUGCUAUCAUUCUAUACAGUGGAUGGGGAGUGGGCCAUUAGGAAAACAAUAGGCCUUAGGAAAAGCUUAUCUCCCACCUUGGAAGCCUUCCUGAGAAUGCUAUAGAGAGCCUCUAAGUAAUGGACAUGUGAUAAGACCAUAUGUCUCUAGACUCCAUCUUGGGAUGUCAAGUAAUUUUCCACAGGCCAAUCUGGGGACCAAGAUUUGAAACAAAGUGUUCCUGCUAUAUGCAAAAGCUAUAUAAGGCAGGAAGUGACAUCAUCUGGGGUUCUUCACUCCCCACACAAGAAGACUCCUGGAAACACCUGAGGAAAAAAGACUGAACUGGGGAAAGUGCUGGAUCCAUGCUAAAGGGAUUUUUAGCCUGUGAAUGGAACACCUGAGGAUUCAAAGCUGCAAGCAAGUACAGCUUGUGCCUUAAGAAUCUGCAGCCUGCUUGUAUCAUCUCUUAGGAACAGCCAGCAACUUGAAAGAUCAGUUAUUCACUCAGCUUUAAUCACAGUGUACUUGGAAUGCUUCAGAAAAUGCACUGGCACGAAGCAAAGUGACAAUGUCCAGUAUGUGGUACAUCUACCAAAGCAAACUGGAUAUCCAGUAAAUUUGAGUUUAAAAGAGACAACUAGCCCUGGAUUUACGAACAGUCUGGCUACAUUUCAAAGACCAUCUUUUUCCGCAGGCAACAGAGGUAACAUCUUCGGAGCUCUGUGCAAGCUUGAAAGCUUGUCUCUUUCACCAACAGAAGUUGGUCCAAUAAAAGAUAUUCCUCAUCCACCUUGUCUCUCUAAUAUCCUGGGACCAUCAUAGCUAUCACAACACGGCAUACAACAGUGGAAGAUAUCUUCUUACACAGACAUUUGGGGAGAAGGUGGACAGAGGGAGAACAAAAAUAUAUGCUGUGAUUGCAGGACUCUUUAAUUACUUAAAUUGCUAAGUAGUUAAUUAUUAAACUCGCCUCAGCCACGAUAAUGACAAAAUGUUCAGCAACAGCUAGGCAAUUUCUGUGACCACUGCUCAAUAUGGGUCUCAUUGUUACUGUGGGCUCCCCUUGACUGGUUGUUGUAUUCAUCCAUUGUCUCUUAUCAUAUACUCAGAUUGUCUGAGCUCUUUGGGCCGGAUUUCUAUAGGUAUUUAGACCCCUAAAGGUGCAGACAGGUGCUUUUGAAAAUCCCACUAAGCACCUGUCUGUAUCUUUAGAUGCCUAAACACCUUUAAAAAUCUGUCCCUUUGGAAAAGGGAUCCUCUUUCAUUAUAAAUGUGUGCAGUGCCUAGCACAAUGGGGCUGAUCUCUGUUUGGGGCUUCUAGGGACUCUGAUCAUAACAAUUACUAAUAAAUAGCACUAGAUAAGUAAAAAUGCCAAUAAUUAAUUAACAGUGGCUAAUAAUUUGAUUGAUAUCAUCAAUCCAUUACUUAUUGGUUAACUUGUACUUGGCACUGUGCAUUUUAAGUCGUUGUAAAAGUACCCAGAGUGAUGUAUGGGCACUUAUUCUAAAUCGAAAUAAACUGACACUAAUUGAAAUACAGAGACACAAACUUGUGCAUACACACAGCAGUCAUAUAAAGUUUUAUAGAGAGAAGCCAGCAACUGAAAAGCUCCAGAUUCAACAGUGCCCUCGGAGAGCAGAAACAACAAAAUCCUCCAUGACACCAAAAAGCAUAAUCACAGAAGCCACAGUAGAGAAGGCAACCUCUUACCGGCAGUAUCCAGAAUGACUAGCAAUAACGCUAAUAAUUCAUAAAAAGCUUGUAUUUCUGUAGUACCUUCCAUCUUAGGUUUGAAAAGCUCUUCACAAACGUUAACAAAAACAAACCUCUUAUCCCCAAAGUGAAGCAGGGUAGUACCAUCCCCGUUUUACAGAUGAGGAAACUGAGGCCCGGAGUGGGGAGUGGCAUGCAAAGUGAGGGCAAAAGGUUAUGUGGGUGUAAAAUGCUACCAUCUGAUGUGGUAGCAUGCUACACUUACUUUGCACUUCACAAAGGUGUGAAUCAUGACAGCCCUUGAAAAAGGAAAUGGAAAAUCAGACCCAAGGGAUUAGAAUCUCACAGCAAAUCUGAGGCAGAACCAGUAAUAGAGUCUUUGGGAUCAUUCCUGUUCUAUCACUAUAUCACACUCCCUGCUUUGAUUUUUUACUAAGAUUACAAGCAAAUUUGGAAUAACUAUUAUUUAACUGAGAGCUUCUACUCUCAGUUACAUAUUAACAUCACCACUGAAGGCAAUGGGAACAUUCAUGUUAUGUGUAAGUGAGAGUAGAAUAGGGCCUAGUAUCAUAAUAAUUUAAUUGUUUUAUUCUGUUCUAUAUAGAUGCUGAUAUCAUACUUAUCACCAUAGUAACUGAGCACCUAAGUGGCCUAAAUUCUCCUGUACCAUAUUAAUAAACCUGACUGACAUUGGUUAUUUGGUCUCUUGAGUAUAUGUCAUAAUGAACCAAUGUGUGGUCAAGCAAUUGACUAUACAAUCUAUCAACAAGUUCACUUAUAUUCCUCAUUAUGGCAUCUUUAAGUGUCCAUCUGCCUACUUCCACACUCCUGGAUUUUAAUAUUUAAUUCCAUUGCACCUGAAAUUCCAGAAUGUUCUUUAUUGAAAUCAGAUAUCCUGGUGCUAUUCUUUUAACCUAUGCGUUAAUACUAGAGCUCGUCAAUAUUUUUCUGUCAAAACAUUUUUGGAAAAUGGCUUUUUCGACUAAAUGAACAUUUUUGCAAAAAUGUCUGUUUUCGUAAAAAAAUUUACAUUGUCAGCAAAAAAAAAUGAAAACAAACAUUUGGAAUCUUGGCUGCUGAUAAACAAAACCAUUUUCAUUUGGGGGUUUUCAAUAAAAAUCAGCACAAUUUUGAGGAAAACAAAAAAAAUAAUUUUCAUUGAAUUUUUUCAUGGGAAAAUGAUUUCCUAUCAGCUCUGCUUAAUACAUUAGAUUCAAAUAAAUAGAUAAUACUUAGUGCUGCCUUGAGUGCAGGGGUCCCUUCCAGUCUUACAUUUUUAUGAUUCUAUGAUUCUUUAAAUAAUCAUAAGCACCAAUCUUCUGUAAUGCCAUUACGUUCUCAAUUCAUUUCCUCUUUAUUCUCUUCUGGAUGGAUUCUUUCCUUUCUAUGUCACGUCAUUAAAUUGUCUUGUGUACAAUUCAAACCUCUGCAUAAAAAACAUCUUUGAUCAGUAUUUGUUACCCACAUGAUGUCUGAGUAAUUGGUGCCCCCCCAUUAAGGGUCUGAUCCUGCUCCUGUUGAAGUCAAUGGCAAGACUCUCAUUAUCUUCAACAGGGCAGGACGAAGCCAUAAGAUGGCAUCCUGGCUGCUUUCAACUUCUUUGUUAAUUGGUUCCUCAUUAAUUGGUUUAGGAAUUCUGGGCCAGACCUUCAACUGUUGUAAAUCAGAACAGCUUCACUGAAGUUAAUAUACCUACCCCAAUUUAUAUCAGCAGAGGUUCUGCCCUUUUUCUAUAUGUUGAUUCAUUCAUAGUCUCUCUCUUUCUCCCCCACUCCUCUUGCCUUCCCUUUCUGCCAUCUCCCUUCAGUCCUAUUACAGAUGCCCACGUCAAUUAAGUUUCUCCUUUUUCUCAUUUCUUGUAUCCUUAUCACUGUAUUUUGCGGCUGCAUUAUUCAUUGUCAAGUUCAUAACUGGUCAAAUAAUUAUCUGAACUCUAUAUCAAUUUUUCCUUUCUUCCAUUAUUUGACACCUCCAGUCAAAUUUUAUCUCACUGAUUUUGUAAAUGCUUUUGAUGUAUAAUUCCACCUUUCCACCUUUUCUUCCCUUUCUAUAAGAUCACUGCUGACAUUCCAUUUGUACCAUCCCAUCUGGCUUGUUAUGCCUCACUGCUGUAGGUCCUACUCCUCACCAUUUAGACUCUGAUUCAGCAAAGGGCUUAUGUAUGUGCUUAUCUUUAAGCAUAUGCUUAAAUCCAUCCCUGCUGAGCAAAACACUUAAACUAUUCCUUGAAGUUAAGCAUGUGAUUAAGUCUCUUUGAAGUCUUAAGUAUGGCAUUUAAGUAUGAAAAAUUAGGCCCAGAAUAACCUGGUUUGGAGGGGGCCUCAAUCAGGUCAUAGAGUCAUCUAAACCUUCCUAUAUACUGCAAUGGUUGUCCGAUCUCAGCUGUGACUGUCUCCAGUGACGGUGAUUCCAUAACUUCCCUUGACAGAUUGUCAAGUGACUAUACUGGAACAUAAUACUUACCGCUUAUAUAGCAUUCUGUAUGUUCAAAGCACUGUACGGGCGUUAACAUGGAUUUUUCCAUACCAGAGAGAUCUUCAGUCUCUCUUGUUCAGUUUCAGUACCGUGUCUUGAUGAGUGGUCUGACAGUCUGCUGCUACAAGUCUGUAAGAGGAAGUCUCAGAUACCUUAUCUAGCUAAUCUUACACAAUCUGAACUACUUUCGGCACAUCCAAGGUGCUCAUCAGCAAGCUAGCUAAGCACUUUGCAAAACUAAUGGUACAGCGAGUCCAUGAAGGUGCUACUUUCUCUGUCUUCUCCUGUUCCUUUUUUCAUCCUAUCUUAUUCCUCUUUCUUUCUCCUCUUCCUCACCCUCAUCCUCUUGUGGGGUUUCUUUCUUUCUCUUUAAUUUCCAAAUGAGACAGAGAAAGCAGGUUAAGUUUAAUAUAUGCUUGCAUGACUCCUCUACGAUGUCUGAGAUAUGGAAGCCAAUUUGCAUCCCAUUGAUUUUCAUUGGGAACAGAACAAGGCCUAUAGAGUGCAGAAUAAAUACUGAGUCUUUGUUACCCAGGUGUAAAGAGUUUCUGUGGAAAUUAGAGAUGGACAUGAACCAACACACUAGAUCUCAGCAUCCAUGGACUUUACAAGGAGGUUCAGAAACAGAUUAUCUCUGUAAUGGGCCCUCUCUUCUUUCAAGAUUUGUAGAAGUUCAGAAUUAAUUUUGCAGCUUGGGCUAAUUUGCGGUGCACAUACCAUUUAUCACCAAUGCACUGAACUUUUCUUAACACCGUUUGCUAGAGUAAACUAAAGCAAGGAAGGAAGAUGAUUUCAUAGUGUUAACUCCUUUAAUAAAGCGCGAGGGUGGAGAUACACAAAGGAGAAUGGAAAAAAAAUGUUUCUGGUGCUUCCUGCUCCUUAUGAUGUAUGAAAGUGGCCUCAUGAAGGUUUUUCAAAACCAUUUUUUCUCUUUGUAUUUUAUAUUAGAAAUAUCUGGUCCUGAUAUCCCUCUUUUUGCUGGAGGACUUUGAUCAACUUUUGGAGGACCUGAAAGGUAACAUCACAGCUCUAAUAAGCUGCAGCAAUCCCAGGUUUGAACUGAGGAUGGGACUGGGUGAGGUUUUUGACUGCCUAAGACUCAACAGGCCAGACUCUGAACUCCCCUACAGUAGAGUAAGUCAGGAAUAACUCUAUUAAAAUCAACUGAGUUACAGCCGUGUAACACCAGAGUAAGCAAAACCAGAACAACACGCAGUUGAAGGCUGGGAUGGAUCCACCAUAGGUUGAAGCCGUGAGCUGUGAUGUUACCAUCCAGAUCUUCCAAAGAUUUGCCAAAGUCCUCCAGCAAAAAGAAGGAGACAUUAGGCCCAGAUCUUUAAAAUACAAAUUAUAAUCAAGAAAGACUUCUUUGGGAAAAAGAAAAGAAAAGAACCCAGACAUUUAUGAGGCCUUCUUUCCCCUUCCUAAAGAACAGUAAAAGGCACAUCUUUUUUAAAACGAACUGUUGCUUUGUCGUUCACCUCUCAAAUGAGGUACAAGAUGAGCUGUCACACUUUCUAACCACGCCAUUGACGAUGCCUGCUGCCGAGCCUCAUGCUGGUUACUAUGAGCUGGCCAUUUUGUGGCCACAUCCUGCUCCACAAACUACUACAGUACAGCUAAAAACAAAACCAAGCAACUGCUCCUCAUCUAGUGCAUGAAAUGUAACUUGAGGCUCACGCUGGACAUGACACAAGGCGAGAGGAAAUAUUUUCCUUUCAGUGGGCUUUUUUUCCUCAGAUAUUCACUCUGUGAACCAUUGAGAGUGGAGGCGUGUCAGUGGGAAGGCAAAUGAAUACAAAACUUCUGGGGCCAGGAGACAAACAUCAGCCGGUAUGGCUCGCAGUGAACACCCACUCGUCAAAAAAGUUCCACGCGCUGAACUUUCCAAAAGAGAAUCCUUGGGGUUUAUUUGUUCUGUGGGUUUUCCCCUCAUAACCAAUACUCAUCUGUGUAUAAAGGCUUUAUUAAAACUC